rnacentral:tRNA from 1 species
GCGUCGGUCGGCCCUGGGAGGCCAAGCGGUCUGUAAAACCGCCGCACUCGUGCUCCGCCGGUUCGAUUCCGGCCCGACGCAC